rnacentral:rRNA from 1 species
GACGAACGCUGGCGGCGUGCUUAACACAUGCAAGUCGAACGGAAAGGCCCCUUUGGGGGUACUCGAGUGGCGAACGGGUGAGUAACACGUGGGUAACCUGCCCUUGCCUUCGGGAUAACUUCAGGAAACUGGGGCUAAUACCGGUUAGGCAUCCUUCCUGCAUGGGGGGGGUUGGAAAGCUUCGGGGGCUUUGGAUGGGCUGGCGGCUUAUCAGCUUGUUGGUGGGGUAGUGGGUUACCAAGGCUUUGACGGGUAGCGGGACUGUGAGGGCGACCGGCGACACUGGGACUGAGAGAAGGCCCAGACGCCUACGGGAGGCAGCAGUGGGGAAUACUGCACAAGGGGCGGAGGCCUGAUGCAGCAACGCCGCGUGCGGGAUGACGGUCUUCGGGUUGUAAACCGCUUUCAGCAGGGGCGAAGCUUGUGGUGACGGUACCUGCAGAAGAAGCACCGGCUAACUACGUG